rnacentral:rRNA from 1 species
ACUGAAUAGAUACCCGGGUAGUCCACGCCCUAAACUAUGUCAACUAGUUGUCGGGUCUUAUUGGACUUGGUAAACGUAGCUAAACGCGUGAAAGUUGACCGCCUGGGGAGUACGGUCGCAAGAUUAAAACUCAAAGGAAUUGACGGGGACCCGCACAAGCGGUGGAUUAUGUGGAUUAAUUCGAUGCAACGCGAAAAACCUUACCUACCCUUGACAUGUCAGAAAGUUUCCAGAGAUGGAAUCGUGCUCGAAAGAGAAUUUGAACACAGGUGCUGCAUGGCUGUCGUCAGCUCGUGUCGUGAGAUGUUGGGUUAAGUCCCGCAACGAGCGCAACCCUUGUCAUUAAUUGCCAUCAUUUAGUUGGGCACUUUAAUGAGACUGCCGGUGAUAAACCGGAGGAAGGUGGGGAUGACGUCAAGUCCUCAUGGCCCUUAUGGGUAGGGCUUCACACGUAAUACAAUGGCGCGUACAGAGGGUUGCCAACUCGCGAGAGGGAGCUAAUCUCAGAAAGCGCGUCGUAGUCCGGAUCGGAGUCUGCAACUC